GUGACCUCGGAUCAGGUAGGA
rnacentral:rRNA from 2 species